GAUGAACGCUGGCGGCGUGCCUAAUACAUGCAAGUCGAGCGAAUGGAUUAAGAGCUUGCUCUUACGAAGUUAGCGGCGGACGGGUGAGUAACACGUGGGUAACCUGCCCAUAAGACUGGGAUAACUCCGGGAAACCGGGGCUAAUACCGGAUAACAUUUUGAACCGCAUGGUUCGAAAUUGAAAGGCGGCUUCGGCUGUCACUUAUGGAUGGACCCGCGUCGCAUUAGCUAGUUGGUGAGGUAACGGCUCACCAAGGCAACGAUGCGUAGCCGACCUGAGAGGGUGAUCGGCCACACUGGGACUGAGACACGGCCCAGACUCCUACGGGAGGCAGCAGUAGGGAAUCUUCCGCAAUGGACGAAAGUCUGACGGAGCAACGCCGCGUGAGUGAUGAAGGCUUUCGGGUCGUAAAACUCUGUUGUUAGGGAAGAACAAGUGCUAGUUGGAUAAGCUGGCACCUUGACGGUACCUAACCAGAAAGCCACGGCUAACUACGUGCCAGCCGCCGCAGUAAUAC
rnacentral:rRNA from 1 species